rnacentral:lncRNA from 1 species
UCACGUCCAAAAUUCGUAAUUUUAUUAUACUUCUUAGUGACAUUACCAAUGACACUCGUGAAUGGAAUAAGAAAGAAUGGAAAUAUACUUGGAAUUAUUACAAAGAUUUUCAGCAAUGAGUAAAUCCAAAUCAUAUUGCCACCUAUAAAACACAAUGACAAGACAAGAAAAAUGUGAAUCGUUCGAACAAGACAACUAACAGGCAAAUUUAUAACAAUUCAAUUUACGAGAAAAAAAAACUUAUUUUAUUGGUAAUAUUUAAAUUGUGUCAUUGAUCUAAUUCAUUAUUUCAGUGUAUGUUCUCUUUUUUUAAUUGUCUUUUGAUUACGUCAAGCCAUUUAGAUUGAUAUUUAUCAUAUGUGUUUCUGUGUUGUGAUUUUACAAUAUUGUGUCAAAUGAGGGUGAAGGUAGGUUCAAAUUAAAUCGUUUAAAUAAAGGCAACAGUAGUAUACCGCUGUUCAAAACUCGUAAAUCUAUGGACAAAAAACAAAAUCGGGGUAACAAAUUAAAACUGAGGGAAACGCAUUAAAUAUAAGAGGAGAACAACGACACAACAUUAAAAUGUAAAACACACAGAAAC